rnacentral:rRNA from 1 species
CAAUAGCGUAUAUUAAAGCUGUUGCGGUUAAAAAGCUCGUAGUUGGAUUUCUGUCAAGGACAACUGGUCCGCCCCUCGGGUGAGCACAUAGUUUGGUCUUGGCACCUUGUUGGAAACUGUUGCUGCACUUGGUUGUGUGGCGCAGUGUCCAGCACUUUCACUUUGAGGAAAUUGGAGUGUUUCAAGCAGGCACAUGCCUUUGGACACAGUAGCAUGGAAUAAUUAGAUUGGGCUUUUGCUCCAACUUGUCGGUUUCUGGAGCUGAGGUGAGAAUUAAUGGGGAUUGUUGGGGGCAUCCGAAUUUAGCCGUCAGAGGUGAAAUUCUUGGAUCUGCUAAAGACGGACAACUGCGAAAGCGUUUGCCCAGGAUGUUUUCAUUGA